AACUGACCACUGUGAUUGUCUGUGGCUAGCAAUUAAUUUCUUGAUGAACUUGAUCAGUGGUACUCAAAGCAUGAUCUGUGGUCUGGCACUGAUUUAAAAACUGCAUAUUUAUUGGCCUACAAUGAGAGAAGUACAAACUGAAUGGAUGUCUUUCCCAACAUAAUUUAUGGUCUACACACUCACCACAGCAGAGUUUAUGAGGAUAAAGAUGCUUGUCUCAUUAAUGCAGCUUAAGCUUAAGUGACUAUUCUUUCAGGUCCUGCAUACCAGUAAAACUACUGAUGCUAGCUGUUGCAUAGGACCCCAUGAGGAGCUGACUCAACAAAGAAGGCAGUUUUCAGAUCCUGAUAAUUUCAUCCCCCUAACUCUGACCAAUCAACAACCACAAUUUUCUGGACCUAUACCUUUCACAAUUCUUUUACAAAA